rnacentral:lncRNA from 1 species
UUUUAUCUUUUUAAUUAGAGAUAAGUAUAACAAUAAUAAUUAUGUCUCACACACAUAAAUAUAUUUAAAUGUAUUACAGUAUCAGAAUAAUCUAACUGUAUAGGUUACAUGUACAAUAGUAACGACACAACAAUAUCAUCCUCUUUGUCUGACAGAUGAUUUCUUUCGUUAUACGCAUGCGCAAAUACUUAAUAUAAACAACAUAGAAAAGUUGUUUUUCAGUUAAUAUUUUGUACGAGAAAGGGGAUUUAUAUUAAAAUAGAAUUUGGAAAAGUGCUAGUUGUACUUUCAAUUAUGCGAUUCAAAUAUCAUUCUAAAGGCUUCUCGAUGUGGCUCCUGAGGUCUCCCCCUUUGCUGAGGCUAUUCUAGAGGCUUCGUAGUUAUCCAGCUUAUCCAUUUCUCUCGCUUGAGGAACUUUUCUACAAUACUUUCUCGACACAGCCACUACAGAAGCUGUCAUACCAUCUCUUUAGAAUCUACACCUUAUAGUGUUCCAAAGUAGUCACUCAUCCAAGUAAUCAUGUCCAUUGUAAUUUAAUUUUAGUGAUUGUACAAGAACUAGGUUUUUCAAUAAAACAUAGUCAUUGACAGCG